AACGAACGCUGGCGGCAGGCUUAACACAUGCAAGUCGAGCGCCCCGCAAGGGGAGCGGCAGACGGAUGAGUAACGCGUGGGAACGUACCUUUUGGUUCGGAACAACUCCGGGAAACUGGAGCUAAUACCGGAUAAGCCCUAACGGGGAAAGAUUUAUCGCCGAAAGAUCGGCCCGCGUCUGAUUAGCUAGUUGGUGAGGUAACGGCUCACCAAGGCGACGAUCAGUAGCUGGUCUGAGAGGAUGAUCAGCCACACUGGGACUGAGACACGGCCCAGACUCCUACGGGAGGCAGCAGUGGGGAAUAUUGGACAAUGGGCGCAAGCCUGAUCCAGCCAUGCCGCGUGAGUGAUGAAGGCCUUAGGGUUGUAAAGCUCUUUUGUCCGGGAAGAUAAUGACUGUACCGGAAGAAUAAGCCCCGGCUAACUUCGUG
rnacentral:rRNA from 1 species